rnacentral:misc_RNA from 1 species
GGCACGCCCGCCUUGCAGUGAUACGCACUCGUCACGCACAGUGCACCACCACAGAGUUGCUGCCUUUCGGUUGCACACAGCGGAAGUGCAGUUUCCCUUCGUUUGCUCUUGUGGUUCAUCUGCACAUUUUUUAGCGUAUCGUGUAUGUCUGUGCACGUGGAAGCCCUGUCGCGCGCGUGUGUAGAUUGCUAGCUCCGCUGCAGGGGAGCCUACGCUGUCUUUCUUUCCCCUCCCUCCCAUCUCUCGUGGUAGAGGAGGAGGAGUUUCAAGCCAUACUUGUAGCCGCUAUUUCUCUUUUUCCCCUUUCCUCGUCUCACUUCUUUCGUGUGUCGGCCUGCCGCCUCCGCGUGUAGAGGCAGCCACAGAUAACGAUCUCUGCGCUUCACCCACCCUGUCUCCCGCUGCCUCUCGUCGCUCCAGCAGGAGAGAAGGUGGGCUAGGGUGCACGCCAACGUGGAAAACACGUUGCACGCAGACUGGUAAACGCCCUUUCCUUCCGCCUAUUUUCGUGUGGUGCUGUUCGUUUUUUCUUUCUCUUUUGCAUGCACGUCGGAGACCUGCGGCGCUCCUCACACGGCUGCAACAUCCCUCUCCUGUAAGUCCGCGCUUGAGGCUGCUCUCUCUUGUGUCAUCUUCGAUUUGGGGCCACUGAAACUCUGUGUGCCGCGACGUUGCUUGUGUAGAGGCCGUCUCCUCUGCCUUGGAAACGUUUUUGCUUUCUGCAUUUCAUCACCCCUCCAAGUGCAGAUAAGCAGUCAGCGGCACGAGCAGUCCAUAGACCGAUACAUCCAUACGUAUAUAUGUGUAUAUGGGCCUAUAUACACCCUAAGCAUCCGUUUGCCGUUUCAUCUCUCCUUCACACCUCUUCCACGGCUUUCUUCGUACCGCCGGGCGUGUUCGGGCGCGCGGUUCUAUCCACCGACUCUGGGCGCGGCGAAAACGCCAGAUAUAUAUCUAUGGUGGUGGUGGUGGGGACUGAUGAGGGUCCACCACCGGGAGAGUAGCAUCACACUAACGAAAAACAAAAGACUAUUAUCAACACAUAACGAGCAGGCAAACUGAGCAGCUUGGAAAUCGAAGCAAGAGGUGAGGCACUGCGCACCUGUUGUUGUUUUUAUUUUUGUUUUUCUUUGAGGUCGUCUGUGACUGUUGUCCCCCCUUUCUUUGUGUGCGUCUUGUAGGUUGCCCGUCCUCCUCUUCUUCUGUAUUCCGGUCUCCCCCACUCUCUCUCUCCCUCCCCCCUCCGCAGCAGCACAACAGGUUUUCAAUCCGCUUGUCGUGCGCCACCUUUUAUCCUUCCCAUCUGCUUCUUCUUGCGUGUUCUUCGUAUUCUCUUCUCUUCUUCCUUAACGGCCCACAUCCCUCGCUCCCUCCAUCUCUCUCUGUCUGUGCGUCUGUCGCCGUUCACCGCUUCCGCGGAAGAGAGAGAACGUGGAGCCAUCGCUGCAGCAAGGCGUCUGUGGGACUCUUCUUACUCUGCCCUCUCCCGUUUAUUCUGCCCGCACUUCUUCGCUUUUCCAAAUAUCCUUUUGUUUCUUCACAUUUCUGUGCAGGGUUUUUCUUGGGUUUCGAGUUUUCCUUUCUUGUGCUUCCACGUGUCUCUCCAUCAUCCCGACAUCGCUUGGCGUCUCCUUGCGUCCGCCCAUCCGCCCACACACCCUACCCCCACUCCCUCUUCUCCUUACCCCGUAACUAAGUCCCUCUCUCUCUCAAUCGUCACUCCGAGGCGCCCCCCGACUCGCUCCAGCAGUGUGAGCGCUCCGACUUUCUGUUUUCUAUGCUCUCCUGUCGCUGGCUCUCACUCCUGUGCGGCUCUUUCAUUUCUUGAUUUUCGUUUUUUUUGUUUGUGUGUGCUUGCUUGAUCGUUGCUGCGUGUGGGCCUUUCAUCUUUUCUGCUUCUGCGUGCACUCUCCUCAUUCUCUCACUCUCUAUAUCUCUUUCUCUGUGGUCGGCCGGCUGCCGUGCGGACCUCCCCGUUACUCACCUCCCUUUUCGAAAGUGAGUCACGCGUGGCCGUCGACGCACGCAGCACAGAGGUGCCGCUCUUCGCUUCUGCUGUUCUCCGGCUUUGCUCGUCGUCUCCCCCCUCUUUCUGCUUGUCUUGGCGUUCUCCUCAGUUCUCUUGAUGGCCGUUUAUGUUUUUUCCCUGUUUUUUUUUUUCACGGCUCUUUUUUCUUUGUUGGUGUCUUUCCCCGGACAUCACCGCGUCUGUCUACGGGCACUCUCCUCAUCGCCCAAAGACAUUGACGCGUUGCGGGAUGGAGUACGUCUCCUUUCUGGAUGCGUCGGCGGCGACCCCCCGACCCGCUAACCCCCUCUCGCCAGCGCGUGGCCGGCCGGCCGAGGACAAAACAGAGGAGGACAGUGGCCUUCUCAGCAAUCACCAGUCCAGCACCUCCCUCAACCCUUUCGCGUGCACUGCGGCCUUCACGGACAAGCAAAGGAGCUACUGGGGGAAAUCGGCGGGUCUGGGAAGGCUCGACAACCCAAAGAAACAGCAGAGCACUGCUUACGGUGCCUCUCUCGCAGCAGCCGAGCCGAUGUACACGGAGGUGAGUCAGCGGCAGUUGACAUCGCAGUUUGCAGGCAUCUCAUUGACAACGGAGAACUGGUGCGCAAGCGUGCUCAUUGCUGAAAACAAUGUUGCGGCGCGGAAUGGGGGAGCACGACAAGCUGUUGCCAACGCUGCUCGAAUUCCAUCUUGCCCACCUCGCUCGCUCCUCCCAUCGCGGCCUCAAAUCCUUUCACCCGCUCCUCCUUCGCCACCCGAGGGGCGGCGACGCGAGAACAAAACCGAGGAGUUCUUUCGACUCGCUCACGAGCUCAAAAAGCAACGCCUUCGAUUGCGCGAACAGCAGCAGCAACAACGACGGCAACAGCAGGAGAAAUCGUACCGCGGUGUUGCGAAGCCACACACGUGUCUGCGCGGGGACAGCUUCAGAACCGCGCCCCAUGCGUCUGUCGAGCUUGUCGCGCCUGCGUCUGCGACGGGCUCUGCGCGGACAGACAAUGAUGGCGAUGAGGACGCUGUGAAAACGUUUCACAACCCACCAACGCAGCUGCCAGGGAACGCUUCACGAGGCUCUGGCAUAUUGUCCUCGAUACCAGCGCUGCAUCACGAGACGCCGCUUCAAAAAAAUGGGGUGCCGCUUUUUCUCCGCCAGACGCAGCCGCUGCCUCAAACGCCACCGCAGAAGGUCGAUAGCCGUGGUCGCAGCCAGCAGAAGCUGCGGGCGCUGCUGCCGGCGGCCCCGAUGCGGCACGGGUGGGAGGCCGAGGGAUUCGACUACUCCCCCCCGACGACCCAGCUGUGCAGGGAUGCGUACAGCGGUGACAGUGAUGACGGUGACAGCAGCAGCGCCAGUGGCUUCGAAUCGCUACUGAGUAGGCAGAGCGAAAGGAUGGGUGUCUUCUCUGCGCUGGACUUCCCACACGUACGCUCUCCAGAUUGGACUACUUUGAGCUCGAUGGAGCGCGAUGCCUUGGAGUCGCGGUUGUCGGUGCCAUCCGCGCCAGAAGAGGCCACCGGGAGCGAUCCAACCUUCGUCUUGACUGAUGUUGCUCGCAACGUUGUACCGUUGGAGGUGGUGCCAUCUUUUCCGGAUACAACGAUGCCGCCCAUCAGGAGUGAUGCCCGCGACUCCGACUACCACGUAAUGCGGGCUGCUGCUCCUGCGCUUUCGCCCAAUCGACCUCCUGUUUCGGUGAGCGCGCCCACUACCCGGGCCACACGAGUCCCACUGUGGGGCGCCCCUCCACCUGUGGCAGCGGCGACUCCAAGCCCGAGAGCCCGCAAAGGGCUCCUCCCCUCCACCAUGUGCCUCACUAAGGGCUCCCGCUUCACCUUCUCGGCCUACUCGUCUUCAGCGCUGUCCUCAGGCUCGCCGACGCCUCCCGACCGCUCCCUAUCGACUUCGAAGAGUCGCCGCGAUAACUCCACCGUGAGCCCUCUCCAGCGCCAGCGAAAAAACGGAUCUUCACGAGUGCCUCGCGGCGAUGAGGCUGUGCGGGACGAUGUAAGCACCCACGGCACGCUUACUGGCGGCACUCAGGGGCACGCAAACGCGUUUUCCACGGCCCCUGCAGCAAUGCUGCCGCGCAAGGCCGUCAUGCAGCGCUUCUGCGAGCGCUUCUCCGCGUUGAAGCAGAUGUUUCGCAUGAAGCCUCUGGAGUAGCCAGGCCGAUCAAUGAUCGGGCACACUGUGCAAAGGAGGCGAACGUUCGCUCUUGCGCGACCUGAGGGGGCGCUUGAUUGGCUCAUGCGCACUCUAUGCUGCUGCGUGAUGAGCAGUGCUGCAGUCGCUGAUUGACACCGGGUCAGCUCUCCAUCCUCUACACCUUUGCCAGCUUACUUGCGUAUGCAUGCCUGUGCACGGGUUGGAUUCCACGCCGAUCACACUCGAUCGACUAUACUUCUGUUUUCUUUCUCAUUUCUGCACGGCUGUGUUUUCGUCUUUAAUUUUCCUCCUUCUCCUAUUUAACCGCCGUGUCUUCUGCUGCCCUCUCUUCUGUGCGCUCGCGUACGCCCAUGUUGUCGUCGUCCCUCCUUUCAUGGCUCUCCUUUCGGUGGCGCUGCUUUCGUUUUGAUUUAUUUACAGCCCCCGAGGAUGCCGGCCAGCACAGCGCGUGGCAUGAAGGGUCCACUACACCAACUCUGUGGGGGACGCCAAGCAGCCUGCAGCCUGCGCUUGGGUGCUGGCUGCGGACUGCCGGUGUGGGCGGACAGGGCUGUGCUGGACCGACGCGUGGUGAUGGUGAUCAGGUGUGUGACAGCUCACUGAGCAUCGUGUCGACGGUCCAACAAAUAUGUGCGUGCACGGUGGUCUCUUCUGCCUCUGCGGCGUUGCGGUGCUGCCGAGCGCAGCCCCGGACCUGGCCUGCGCUGUCCGCAGUGGGGUUGCACCUGAUUGAGCGACGCCGAGCGGAGCUGGUUGCCGUGGCUGCUGGGCACAGCUGCAGUGCCGCAGAGGCAGGUGAGCUUCGGCCGCAUGCGCAUAUAUCUGCUGGCUUGCUCAUGCUAUAGUCGACACGCCGAAGAAAAGCAAACGAGAACUCUGCUGUGGCGCCGUGACCGUGUGCAGGGCAGUCGACCAGACGGUGUCGAAAUAUCGAUAGCAAGAGAAACGACCUGCACAGCGUUUACACUGCCCUAGCCGGCACUCUCUCCUAGCAGACUCUUCGGACUCGCCGGCUGCUAUGCGCUUUUUUUUCUGUCUUGGACGUUCAGCUUCAUGAGAUUGUGCGCAUGCGCGUGCCUCUGUAGGGCAGCAAGCGAAGGUUUCUUUUUUUUUUUGCCUGUGUGAGAAUACGUCCGAUGGAGGUGGAGGUGUAGGCCGUCCUCGUGCCUGUUGCGCUACACCAGUUGUGACGCCCCCUUCCACGUCUCUCAGUACGGCGGCUUACUCUGUCUCAGGUACUGUGUCGAUCCUCCACGGCCUCAGCCAUUGAGGGCCGCGCCGCCGGAGCUCUCGUUCCCGUCGCAAAAGAGGGCGCAUGAAAUGGGAUGGGGGCAGACUGUGAGCGUGCACGGAUGCUGUAGCCUCACGCAUUCCCUACUGGGUGUGCGGCUCCUUUGCCUCUCCUCCUCUGUUUUUUUUUUUGAUUUUGUUACCUUGCUUCUUUUCCGACCUGUGCAGCCCAUUCUCUUUCGCGCUGUGCCUCUACGUGAUUUUGAAAAGUCAUUGCUGGCGUGCUGGCGUAAUGGGCCAUAUCGUCUCCGAUCAGCUGUGGCGGCGCCUGAGAGCUUGUCUUCUUCCCACCCUUGAAAAUGGCCUCUUGCAGUACCGGGCCUUGAGAAACUCAGGUUGUCUAUUAGCCGCCCGGCAGCACACGUCAAACUCUUGUGCGUGAAAGCAGGUGAUGUGAGUUUUUUUUUUGUCAUUUUGGUGUUUUUGCUUGAUUCUAUAAGUGACCAUCACUCUCUUACGCACACACUCUCUUCCGUGAGCUCGGCUGUUCGGCGUCGCUUGUGUCGUGCUCUCCUCCAACCACAAGCGCCUCUCUUGAGUCCUCCACCUGCGGCCGCGCACAGGACAACAAAAUGGAGGGCAGAGCCCUGUCAGAGGUUGAUGUAGGGAAACUGUGUUCUUCUCAUUCUUGUGAUGUCUGCCGCCUCCAGCCUGUUGCCGGUCUCGUUGUAGUGGAAGUCUACCACACGCGCGAAAAGAACGAGGAACGCCUUAAGCACCACCGGACUCAUCGACCCCGCCCCCGCCGCAGUCGCUCGCCCCUUCUCAUUGCUGUGCUUCGAGGCCGCAUUUUUUUUUGUAUCUGCUCUGAGCACUGGCGGGGAAGAGGAAGAGUAUGUUGUGCUUGUGCUUGCCGGUGUUGUCCCCUCUCGCUUUCUUAAUGCGAUGAUGUCUAGGUGUGCGGCGGUAACGUUAAAACAUGCUUAGCUUGAUCGAGGAUCAAUGACAG